GACAUAGUUGAUGACUUAAUACCUGCUGACUCAACUUGACCUGUCUCACUGCCUGUCUGUCACUGCGGUGGAUUGAUGCCGCUGUACUGUACUGAGUGUUGUGCGCUCAGUAGAGCUCCGGUUAUAACGGCGGUGAAAUUAAAAACACUCCAGCGUCUGUACUUAGCAUUUUCCGGAGGAAGAUUUCAUAGAGCAGAACUCUGUUAUCACUGGAUAACAGAGUCCCUGGAUUUGUCUCCAGUCAUUAAUGAGAUGUUGAUUCUCUUCCGGUUAUAUCGCUUGAUUACGCGUGAAUUCGCGAGAUUCACUGAUACACUGCACUCUGUUGGAAGAGCAUUUAAUUGUUCUGCCUCUCACUUCACGCCGCUUCCACGGCACACCUGGUGAUUUCUUACGGCACACUUGUGUGCCGCGGAACAGCUGUUGGGAAUCACUGGAUUGGAGCACAGUUAUGGGGCGAAUCUGAUUGGCUCCUUGUGUUUUGGCUUUGACGUAAAUCCUGUCGGAUUUACAUCAAACCUGGCGGGACUGGCCUCUCUGGCUUUUCGUCUGAGAUUUACAGCUUGACCAUUUAUUUACUGAUAAACACUACUUCACCUAAGAGACUUGAGUAUCCAGUUCUUCGUUGACCUUCAGCAUUCAGUUGUUUGUCUUCACCUUUUCAGGUUUCCUGUGUCCAGCAUCUUCAAGACAGACUAAGCUAACUUUUCAUAUUUUUUGCACAUUUAUAUUUAGGUUAGGAAAAGGUUAGGUUUAUAGUAGAGUAUUUAGUUUGUAUAGUUUAGCUUUUUAUGCUGGUCUAGGGACAGUUAAGUUAGCAAAUUAAUUUAGUUCAGAUCACUUACAGUUGCAUAUUAUUGUUACAAUUGUGUUAUUUUGUGAGUUAUUGUUGUACAGGCUAUUGUAUAUUGCAGGACCAGGUGAGACGAGGAAGACCACUGCUUCCAAGAUGCCGCUCAGAAAGUGCGUUGGACAAGUCUCGACCUUGCAGAUCUUGCCCCACUUAGCCCAACCACUUCCGACCAUGGGGUACCUCAAAGACCUCCGUCAACCAGUGGCUGUGGAUGAUGGAUAACGGACCCACAACUCCUUCUCCAGUCUACAAGGUUCUGAAAAUACAGACACCCCCACAGUCCAAGAACAGCUGGAUGACCUCUGGACCCACUUGCCCCCGUUCACCAGUUGAAAAGAUAAGCUUUUUAAAAAAUUCUUCAAUUGUUAAUUCUGCACAAAGUGAUACACAAAACAUUGUCUGUAUUCCAUUUCAACAAACAUGAAAUGUAUAUUUAAAUACAUGACUUAAUGCAAGUCAAUCAUACUAAACAUCAUCUUUUUUUUUUUUAAACCAACCAUUGCACACACUUCCAUCCAAGGAGAGGUUACAUCUUGAUGGUAACUUUUUAGAUUAACAAAACUUUUGUGAUAUUUGUAAUUGUUGUUGCUGGGGAGGGGGCGGGAAGGGUAAGUCUAAACAUUGCAUGCAAGAGACCAACACCGGCGUCUCAGGGGAAAGCUAUCUGUAUACAUAACUAUCAACCUACUUGGUUGCUUCAAAAUUUUACGAUAGUUUUGCAAAUCCUGAACCAGAGAGAAGCACAUCAAACAAACAAAAAAAGCAAUGGUAGAUUUUCAAGGCCUUUCAAUGACAUUAACAUUAUUUUCAAUGACAUUCAUUUUGCAAUUAACAUCAGUUUUAUCUUCUAAAACAUAACUAUAAUGACAUUCAAAUGUAGAUUACCACAAACACAAUAAUAAACUUCAAGUCUCAUUGGAUAAAAUGAAAAAUUAUUGACAGUCCUGAAAUGAUGGGUUAAAUAUCCUUAAUAAGCCCGCAUUAAUAAUAUAUUAAUUUCAGGUGAAAUAUUAAUUUUUUUUACUUUAAAUUCUAGUCUCAUUUAAAGAAAUUGAUACUAUAUAGUAUUUUUCAUAUGAAAUUAUGUAAAUUGUUCACAUGGUCUCUCAGCGUCAGUGGCAGUCGCAGGUU